AACGAACGCUGGCGGCAUGCCUAACACAUGCAAGUCGAACGGGACCUUCGGGUCUAGUGGCGCACGGGUGCGUAACGCGUGGGAACCUGCCCUUAGGUUCGGAAUAACUCCCCGAAAGGGGUGCUAAUACCGGAUAAUGUCUUCGGACCAAAGAUUUAUCGCCUUUGGAUGGGCCCGCGUUGGAUUAGCUAGUUGGUAGGGUAAAAGCCUACCAAGGCGACGAUCCAUAGCUGGUCUGAGAGGAUGAUCAGCCACACUGGGACUGAGACACGGCCCAGACUCCUAAGGGAGGCAGCAGGGGGGAAUAUUGGACAAUGGGCGAAAGCCUGAUCCAGCAAGGCCGGGGGAGUGAUGAAGGCCUUAGGGUUGUAAAGCUCUUUUACCCGGGAUGAUAAUGACAGUACCGGGAGAAUAAGCUCCGGCUAACUCCGUG
rnacentral:rRNA from 1 species